AGACUGUUGUGCUUUGAAAAACAUUACCCUUGCUUGCGACGAACGGAUUUCACUUCGCACGAGCCCAAUAUAAUGCAGCUGAAACUGAUAUUCGGGUACUUCCUGUUUUUACAAAUGAUCCUGUUAGCUUCCGCUGGAAAUGCUUGUAGCCAAGCGUGGGCAGCCUGUCCCGAAGGUGAUACUUCCCAUUGCAAAGAUAACAAUAAGG